UGAUAAUUCUCUAUUGUUUAUAUUUCACUGAUCUCUACCUUUUUUUUCUUCUUCUUUAGUAAAUUAAGCGCUAAACAAUGAUUUUAUACUGCAGAUGUUUGUUUGGAAGCUGUCAAAAUAUGACAUACUGGAUGAUCAAAACCCUAUAUCUCCCAUCAGUAUCAACAACAGCGUAAGCAGUUUCUUCGGUUGCCACAGUGGCAAGAGGGAGGAAGAAACAUCAUCAUCCAUCAUGAUUUUAAUACAAGAUCCUCCUCAAACAGCAUUGUUUUACAUCAUACCUGAAAAAGUAGCUACGAAAUCGUUCCAUAUAGCAUUGCAAGUACAAGUAAGCAUUGUGAUGUUCUCGUAGCUUGCGAACCGGUGCUACCCCGACUGAGCUUUUCUUCUUCUAAAAACUUCUCCAACCACCAUACAUCUUUUCUGGUGCUUUAUUUGUGCUAGAAUUAAUAUUCUUGACCUUGUAAGGCCUUUUUCUUGACCUUGUAAGGCCCUCUCACAUCGUUUUCCAUCUCAUUAUGUACCUCGUGCAUCUCUUUCUUGAUAUCUACAAGAAUGAACCUGCCAUCGCCAAGUUGGCCAGCCAUCUCCUACCUCAUGUUCCCUUCUCCCUUCUAUCCCUCCUGAGCUAGCUGCACCAUCAUAGCCUUUUUAUGAGAUAAUCUCAAUUAAUGGCUAGUGUUUUUAGGCACUUGUGAGUUUCUCCCACAUCCUAGUAGUUAAUGCUACUUCUGGUCAUCCAUUGAUUUGCUCUUAUAUGCAAAAU
rnacentral:sRNA from 1 species